GUUUGAUCAUGGCUCAGGAUGAACGCUAGCGGUGCGCCUAACACAUGUAAGUCGUGCGAUCGAGCCGAACUGAGUCCCUUCGGGGAUGAUGAUUGGUGACGGAGCGGCGGACGGGUGAGUAACGCGUGGCUAACCUACCCUCUUGACGGGGACAACCACCCGAAAGGGCGGCUAAUACCCGAUGUUGUCUGGAACCGAUGGGUUCCUCUCCAAAGGCGGUCCUGCCGCCGCAAGAGGAUGGGGCUGCGUCCUAUUAGCUAGUUGGUGAGGUAAUGGCUCACCAAGGCUUCGAUGGGUAGCUGGUCUGAGAGGACGACCAGCCACAUUGGGACUGAGAUACGGCCCAGACUCCUACGGGAGGCAGCAGUGGGGAAUCUUGGCCAAUGGACGAAAGUCUGAGCCAGCGACACCGCGUGGGGGAUGAAGGCCUUCGGGUCGUAAACCUCUUUUCUGGGGAAAGAAUAAGGACGGGAGGAAAUGCCCGCCCGAUGACGGUACUCCAGGAAUAAGCAUCGGCUAACUCUGUGCCAGCAGCCGCGGUAAGACAGAGGAUGCGAGCGUUAUCCGGAAUUACUGGGCGUAAAGGGCGUCUAGGCGGUUCGGUAAGUCGUUUGUGAAAUCCCUCGGCUCAACCGAGGAUGGUCUUGCGAUACUGCCGGGCUUGGGUGCAGGAGAGGAGGGUGGAACUCACAGAGUAGCGGUGGAAUGCGUAGAUAUCAAGAGGAAUGCCGGUGGUGAAGACGAUGCACUAGGCUUGUCCUGAUGCUGAGAUACGAAAGCGUGGGGAGCGAACGGGAUUAGAUACCCCGGUAGUCCACGCCCUAAACGAUGUCUACUAGGUUCUGGAGGUUCUGACGCCGCCAGGGCCGAAGCAAA
rnacentral:rRNA from 1 species